rnacentral:rRNA from 1 species
GACGAACGCUGGCGGCGUGCUUAAUACAUGCAAGUCAACUUGACUUUAGAUAGCAAUAUCGAAAAGUAGGGGUGGCGCACGGGUGCGUAACGCGUAGGUAAUCUGCCCUGAGGUCUGACAUAACCCGUCGAAAAGGCGGGCUAACAUCAGAUGAUAUAUAGUCACGACAUCGUGGAAAAUAUCAAAUCUUCGGAGCCUUGGGAUGAGCCUGCGUCUGAUUAGGUAGUUGGCGGAGUAAUAGCCCACCAAGCCUACGAUCAGUAGCUGGUCUGAGAGGAUGAUCAGCCCACACUGGAACUGAGACACGGUCCAGACUCCUACGGGAGCAGCAGUAAGGAAUAUUGCUCAAUGGGGGGAAACCCUGAAGCAGCAACGCCGCGUGAAGGAUGAAAUACUUUUGUAUGUAAACUUCUGUAAGAUGGGAAAAUAUUCUCCUCGGGAGAAUUGAUUGUACCAUCAGAGUAAGCCCCGGCUAACUACGUGCCAG